AGCGCAGGAAAGAACCAACAGGGAUUGCCCCAGUAGCGGCGAGUGAAGCGGCAAGAGCUCAGAUUUGAAAUCGUGUUUCGGCACGAGUUGUAGAGUGUAGGCGGGAGUCUCUGUGGAGCGCGGUGUCCAAGUCCCUUGGAACAGGGUGCCUGAGAGGGUGAGAGCCCCGUAGGGUGCUGCGCGAAGCUUUUGAGGCCCUGCUGACGAGUCGAGUUGUUUGGGAAUGCAGCUCCAAGCGGGUGGUAAAUUCCAUCUAAGGCUAAAUAUUGGCGAGAGACCGAUAGCGAACAAGUACUGUGAAGGAAAGAUGAAAAGCACUUUGAAAAGAGAGUGAAACAGCACGUGAAAUUGUUGAAAGGGAAGGGUAUUGGGCUCGACAUGGGGGGUGCGCACCGCUGUCUCUUGUAGGCGGCGCUCUGGGCGCCCUCUGGGCCAGCAUCGGUUCCUGCUGCGGGAGAAGGGGCUCCGGAAAGUGGCUCUUCGGAGUGUUAUAGCCGGGGCCAGAUGCCGCGUGUGGGGACCGAGGACUGCGGCUUCUGUCUCGGAUGCUGGCAUAACGGCGCAAUACCGCCCGUCUUGAAACACGGACCUCCUGUGUGAAGGGAAUCCGCUAA
rnacentral:rRNA from 1 species